rnacentral:rRNA from 1 species
CUCCAGUUGGAUGCAUGUCCUUCUGGGAAGGAUUCAUCGGUAUGGGAUGGGGUCGCGUCCUAUCAGCUUGAUGGCGGGGUAACGGCCCACCAUGGCUUCGACGGGUAGCCGGCCUGAGAGGGCGACCGGCCACAUUGGGACUGAGAUACGGCCCAGACUCCUACGGGAGGCAGCAGUGGGGAAUAUUGCACAAUGGGCGCAAGCCUGAUGCAGCGACGCCGCGUGCGGGAUGACGGCCUUCGGGUUGUAAACCGCUUUUGACUGGGAGCAAGCCCUUCGGGGUGAGUGUACCUUUCGAAUAAGCACCGGCUAACUACGUGCCAGCAGCCGCGGUAAUACGUAGGGUGCAAGCGUUAUCCGGAAUUAUUGGGCGUAAAGGGCUCGUAGGCGGUUCGUCGCGUCCGGUGUGAAAGUCCAUCGCUUAACGGUGGAUCCGCGCCGGGUACGGGCGGG